GAUGAACGCUGGCGGCGUGCCUAAUACAUGCAAGUCGAGCGAACAGACGAGGAGCUUGCUCCUCUGACGUUAGCGGCGGACGGGUGAGUAACACGUGGAUAACCUACCUAUAAACCUGGGAUAACUUCGGGAAACCGGAGCUAAUACCGGAUAAUAUAUUGAACCGCAUGGUUCAAUAGUGAAAGACGGUUUUGCUGUCACUUAUAGAUGGAUCCGCGCCGCAUUAGCUAGUUGGUAAGGUAACGGCUUACCAAGGCAACGAUGCGUAGCCGACCUGAGAGGGUGAUCGGCCACACUGGAACUGAGACACGGUCCAGACUCCUACGGGAGGCAGCAGUAGGGAAUCUUCCGCAAUGGGCGAAAGCCUGACGGAGCAACGCCGCGUGAGUGAUGAAGGUCUUCGGAUCGUAAAACUCUGUUAUUAGGGAAGAACAAAUGUGUAAGUAACUAUGCACGUCUUGACGGUACCUAAUCAGAAAGCCACGGCUAACUACGUG
rnacentral:rRNA from 1 species